ACUCUUAAUUAAUAUCAUACUUUAUAUUAAUCCGAAAUUUUUAUUCCGUUGGUUGGUGGAUUAAGGAGUGUCGGAAUUUGAACGUUCGAGUUUUCGACCACGCACAACAUUACACAACGCAAUUUCAAAAAACCCUACUCCCCCAUUCCCACCGCCUCAAAUGUCCCCGGCGGUGGUGCAUCUCCGAUCUCCGAUCACCUCCUCCGCCUUCCAAACCACCGAUUCCGUUCCCGAUUCCACCUCGCAUUCUUCGUUCCAUCAUCACACUCCUUUUCCUCAUUUCAACGCCGAAGCCUUAAACCCUUCCUCCGCCACCGCAACUGCUGCCCCCGCCGGAGGAGCUUCCAUGUCCCGUGGGAGGACAAGGGCAAGACUCGUCAAGCAGAGGAAGAAACAAUCGGCUUCUCAGCACGUGAAGCCACGUGAUGCUACCCCUGGCUUCGAUUCCGUUCCCUCCGAUCAGGUAACCGGUAAUAUUAGCGACUUGAAUGGUUUUUCGGUAGGUUCUGUUGGACUGGAAAGUGGUGUUAGAGCUUGUGAUGGUGGUUCUUCGAACUGUUAUCGCAAGCUUGGGGGCGAUAGUUUUGUAUUUGGUGCUACUUCAGUCAGCUCUGGUUCCGCUAGGGAUUUGGGUUCCGAGCAGGGUAGAGAAAGUUCUGUAGGUUCUGUUCAUGGAAGGGAGGGUGCACCUGACAGGGAAACGGAGGUUGGGAAGAGUGAUCCUGUAGAAUUUGUGUUUAGUGCUACGCGGAGUAAUAGGGAAUCGAAUUUGGGUAGGAAAACCGGUGAAAGUGCUGCAGGGGUGGGUUUUGGUGAUGAAAGAAAGAGGGGAUUGAAUUCUGAGCUGAGGGAUUGGUCGGUUAAUGCUAAGGGGUUUGUUUUUUGUGCUGAUCAGAAUGGUUUUGUCGAUAAUUCCAAUGCACAAAAUGAGAAAUCUGGCGAAUCUGUUGAAAACUCAGUGUUUGGUGAUGCUGGGGAUAGAGAAGGUAGGGAUGGAGCUGAGUGUGCAGGGCAGGAUAGUUUUCGCUUUGUUUUUGGUAGCUGCAAUGGUGAAGCAUCGAGUUUUAAGGUGGAAAACCAGGGAAAUCUUGAUGGGACAAGAAAUUUUGAUCCUGGAAUGGGUAAUUUUAAUUAUACCAAGGCUGCAACAGAUGGUAAUAGUAAUGUUGAUGAUAAUAAGAAGCAUGGAUAUGGAAGUAGUAAUGAUAUUUCUACGGCUUAUGGUGCCACUCCUGCAUAUAAAUUAACAGAUGAGAUGGAGAAACUGAACAUCGACCACUCUAAGGAGGCUGACGUCACUAGAGAUUCUACAAAUUCACAUGUAAAUGAUAGCACUGGCUUUGUGUUUGGAGGACGUGAGAAUGUUUAUGACUAUUUUAGUACUGGUUCAGGAACUAAUGCUAAUGGUCACAAGUCUUGUUCUAGUGCUGCUUCUGGGAAUAUUGGUGGGCAAUAUUUUAAAGCAUGUAAACCAAAUGAUGUUCAAGAUAGAACUGGUUGUGGCAUUGCCUGUGGUUUUACAAGAGUACCUUGCACCCCUAAGCCACCCAAAGAUUCAGAAGUGAAUGGAGCUACUUCAUCAUUUUCCUCCUCAGCAGUUGGUCUUGACUCCAUUUCGAAUAAUUAUACUUCUGCAGGCCAUCCCUUGAGUGGCAAUCAUGAUAAGUGCGAUAAUUAUUUUACAAGUAUUCCAGAGGCAUUGAAGGAGUCUUUUAUGGGAUUUAAACCUCCAAUGUGGGAUCCUUCUGCUUUUAAAGACAACUUAUUUCCAAAGUUGGAUAAAAAAUUAGAAUCCACACAAAAGGUCAGAUCAUCUAAAGAAAAGGGAUCAAAACAUAUGAGGAGAAAAUUGAAGCCACAUUCGUUGAAUAAGAAACAAACAAGGCUGGAUCCUUCGUACAAGGAAAAUAGUUCAUUGGAAACCCCUGAUUCCUCUGGUUGCCACUCACCUAUGGAUUUUUCUCCCUAUCAGGAAAUGGCAGCAGAGGAUCAAGAUGUGAAAGAUGAAAACUUGGCUGGUGUUGGGAGAGGAACAGAUAUAAAUAGAACUGAUCAAAGAUGUGGUGGUUCUGAUAAUGAGCAGUUCUCAUCACAUUUUGGAAGUUUUCCUGUAGGUGAUUUUCAUUCUUCUGGUCCUGAAGUAGUCUGGCCUACUUUGAAAACCCAGCAAUUUAGUAGUAAUGCAUUUGAUUCUGGGGUUGACUAUAGCUCAAUCAAUGAAAGGCAAAAAGAUGAUCUAUUUUGCUCUGUUCAUGAUCUGGGUGAUUCGAAGGAGAAAGAUUUUGCAUUUUCUGCAUCAUCUACUGUAGCGGGUACUUCUUCACCAUUAAAGCGUAAACAGAAGAAAAAAUUUAGGAGCAAAAUCGGCUGCAAUUCAUUUGUCAUCUCUCCUAAACCAAAUGGAAAGUUUGGAUCUUCUGUGCAAUUUUCACCACUAACCACUUCCAACAUGCCAUCACAUUUUAAUGGGAUGGAUAGAUCUCAAGUCAAUCAUCUGUUCAAGGAAGGGGAUUUUGCAUCAUCAGUUACAAUCCAUGAAGCCUGUGAAAAGUGGAGACUCAGGGGGAACAAAUCCUACAAGGAUGGAGAUCUUUCUAAAGCUGAGGAAUUCUACACACUGGGGAUAAAUUCUGUUCCAACAAGUGAAUCAGGAUGCCAGAUCAAACCGCUUUUACUUUGUUAUAGCAAUCGGGCAGCAACACGCAUGAGUCUUGGAAGGAUUAGGGAAGCUCUAGGGGAUUGCAAGAUGGCUUCUGCUCUGGACCCAACCUUUUUGAAAGUACAGAUGAGAACUGCUAACUGUCACCUUUUGUUGGGAGAAAUAGAAAAUGCUAUGCAGUGUUUUAGUAAGUGUAUGGACUCCGGUAAUGCUAUUUGUUUAGAUCGGAGAGUUGUAGUAGAAGCAGCUGAAGGUUUACAAAAGGCUCAGAAAGUGGUUGAGUGUUCAAACAAUGCUGCCAAACAUUUGAAGGAAAGGACUUCUGAUGCAGCUGAGACUGCUUUAGAACUACUUACAAAGGCAUUGUCAAUAAGUUCAUAUUCAGAAAGAUUGCUUUCACUGAAGGCAGAGGCUUUAUUUUCGCUGCAAAGAUAUGGUGAAGCAAUUCAGCUUUGUGAACAGAGUCGGUGUCUUGCAGAAAAGAAUUUUGACAUGGCAAAUAGCACAGACAAUUUAAAUAUUUCCACAUCUGAUAGUUACGCAUCUGUAAAAUUGUGGAGGUCAUCACUGAUAUCCAAGUGUUACUUUCACUUGGGACGGCUUGAGACAUCACUUAAUAUUCUUGAGAAAUUGCAGCAAGUUGGGUCUGUCAAUGACAAAUGUGUCAUUCAUGAAAUCAGAGAGUUACUGUCAUUAGCUGCUACUAUAAGAGAACUUCUAGAUCAGAAGAGAGCUGGAAAUGAAAACUUUAAAUUGGGAAAGUAUACAGAAGCUGUGGAGCAUUACACUUCUGCCAUAUCUAGCAAUAUCAAAUCACGGCCUUUUGUGGCUAUAUGUUUUGGCAACCGUGCUGCUGCUUAUCAGGCAUUGGGCCAAAUUGCUGAUGCCAUUGCAGAUUGCAGCAUGGCUAUAGCCCUUGAUACAAAUUAUGUGAAGGCAAUUUCAAGAAGGGCCACCUUGCAUGAGAUGGUACGAGAUUAUGAGCACGCAGCUUGUGACCUGAGGAAACUAAUAUCUGUUCUUGAAUCUCAAUCUAAUCAAAAGGCUAACCAGUCUGAUUCACCAAGUGGAUCACCUGCCGUGAAAGAAUUAAGGCAAGCUCAUCAACGCCUGAGUUCAGUGGAAGAUCAAGCCAAAAGGGGAUUACCUUUAGACUUUUACCUCAUUCUAGGAACCAAACCAGCUGAUACAGCAAAUGACAUCAAGAAGGCAUACCACAAGGCAGCUCUCAAACAUCAUCCAGACAAGGCUGGUCAGUUGCUGGCAAGAAGUGAAAUUGGAGAUGAAGGCCAGGCGUGGAAGGAGAUUUUACAGGAGGUGCACAAGGAUGCUGAUAGGCUUUUUAAAAUGAUUGGAGAGGCAUAUACUGUGCUUUCAGACUCUCAGAAGCGUUCGGAGUAUGAUCUGGAAGAGGAGCUGAGGACACUUUCUAAGCAGAGUAACAGAGGCGGCACAUGCAGGAGAUCAACGGAUUCUAAUGGGUAUGGAAGAGCCGCUGAUGGUUAUAGGUCUCCCUCUGACAGAUCUUAUUACAGACGAAAUGGACGGGAUCAUUGGAGGACAUACGGGCACUCAUAUUCUCGGUGGUAAGAAGACUCACAACAGGCAUUGGCGUUCCAUUGACGAUACUAUUGAUAGCGACGUUCCGCUUCAUUUGAUGGACCUAAGCUGCAUCAUAGUGGCUUAGAACCACUUUUGCAGGCCAUUACAGUAUGAUAUUUUUUGGGUCUUACUCAGGCCAUUAAAUGAAAUAAGAUAGUAGAUAUUUUUGCAAGCUUGAGACAUAGCAAUUAUAUACCCUCCGAGCUACAGGCCUACAGCUAAAGGUUCAAGAAAGUGAAGAGAAGUUAAGCAUUGCUGCUGUGCUCGCUUCAUGUGUGGAGUGUAAUAGACAGAUUACCUUUGUACUAGUGUUUGGUCAGGUUUGAAGAUGUUAAAUUGUUAAUAGGAAGUUAAGGACUGACCUCGAAAAAGAAAUUCAAAAAAUUAUUUUACCCAAUACAUGUUUCUACUCCUUGGCAAAGUUGAAACUCUAUACCAAGCCACAUUACCUUGCUGGAUACUAAUUGGCAGAUAACCUAUUAUUUAUUUUU